UAAACCUUCCUCAUCUCUCUAACCAGAUCUAACUUCCCGAACCACCAUCAUUUACCCCUAAAUCCACACUCUUCCUUAAAGAGACAAGAACAGAGAUAGACAUACCCACCACCACCCUCUUCCUCCGCUUUUCUCUUACUCUUGAACCUUGUUUCUCUCUUUAAAAACAUCUGUCACAAUUCCACCUUUUUCCUCUCAAAUCUUUGCCAUGUUCCCAUGAAUCUAAACCCUCAAGAAAUCAAAAAAAAAAAAAAAAAACUAGAUUAAACUUAUAAAUCUUAUCAAGAAUCCACUCAGAUCUAUUUGGGAUCUCUCUUUCAUUAUUGUUCUCAGUAAGGGUUUUGAUUUACUUUUUGAUUACGGGCUAGAAGCACUCAGAUCGAACCCGGAGUGGAACCAAGUGUUUGCUUUUUCUCGAGAUAGGAUCCAGUCGACGAUGCUCGAGGUUGCUGUGAAGGAUAAAGAUCUUAUGAAAGACGAUUUCAUGGGUUGGGUGUCGUUUGAUCUGGUUAGAGAGAUGAGGAAGGUUUAGUGAGAGAUGAGGAAGGUUUAGUGAGAGAAAGGAUAAUAUUUUUUUCUUUUUUAUGUAUUUUUAAAGAAUAGGGUGAAAAGACAAUGUGCGUUGCACAUGACCAGAUUUGACAGAAAAAACUAACUGGGUUAGGGCUAAAGGACAAAACGUGUA